UACGUAGGGUGCAAGCGUUGUCCGGAAUUAUUGGGCGUAAAGAGCUCGUAGGCGGUCUGUCGCGUCGGAUGUGAAAAUCCAGGGCUCAACCCUGGACCUGCAUUCGAUACGGGCAGACUAGAGUUCGGUAGGGGAGACUGGAAUUCCUGGUGUAGCGGUGAAAUGCGUAGAUAUCUGGAGGAACACCGGUGGCGAAGGCGGCAUCCUGGACCGGCAUUGACGCUGAGGCGCGAAAGCCAGGGGAGCAAACGGG
rnacentral:rRNA from 1 species